rnacentral:tRNA from 1 species
GGGCCUGUAGCUCAGAUGGCUAGAGCGCACCCCUGAUAAGGGUGAGGUCGGUAGUUCGAUUCUACCCAGGCCCACCA